GCCGGAAUUACAGAGGAAGCUUUAUUAAAAUCUCUUGCACACUCACAUGAACUAAACUCUGUAGAUCUUGAUGACAUUCACCUUCCAAACUUGCCAAGACCGCCAAAGGCCUUCAGAGGAAUCCGCAAGAAGAGCUCUUCAUUGAAACGUUGGCUUGCUAUAUGCUCUGAUGAUUUGACUAAGAACGGACGGUACCAUGCUACUACUAGCCUCCUCCGCAAGUACCUUGGAGGUUUUUUAAUUGUUUCAUACUUGGAUGUUAUUGAAAAGUCUGGUUACGAUGAUGCAUAUGUGAAGGAAGUUGAAAGAGCAGUUCUGGUGAAAACCCUUGAUUGUUUCUGGAGGGACCAUCUUGUAAACAUGAACAG